AUUGGUGUGGGUGUUUGAAAGAUUACGUUUCGAUGAACUCCCGACUACAGCUGUGGUAGUAAUGGCAACCAGCGACGACGGUAGCCGGCCUGAGAAGGGUGACGACACACUGGGAACUGAGACCCGUCAGACUCUACGGGAGGCAGCAGUGGGGAAUAUUGCACAAUGGCGCAAGCUGAUGCAGCGACGCGCGUGAGGGAUGACGCUUCGGGUUGUAAACCUCUUCAGUAGGGAAGAAGCGAAAGUGACGGUACCUGCAGAGAAGCACCGGCUACUACGUGGCAGCAGCCGCGGUAAUACGUAGGGUGCGAGCGUUAUCCGGAAUUAUUGGGCGUAAAGAGCUCGUAGGCGGUUUGUCGCGUCUGUCGUGAAAGUCCGGGGCUUAACCCCGGAUCUGCGGUGGGUACGGGCAGACUAGAGUGCAGUAGGGGAGACUGGAAUUCCUGGUGUAGCGGUGGAAUGCGCAGAUAUCAGGAGGAACACCGAUGGCGAAGGCAGGUCUCUGGGCUGUAACUGACGCUGAGGAGCGAAAGCAUGGGGAGCGAACAGGAUUAGAUACCCUGGUAGUCCAUGCCGUAAACGUUGGGCACUAGGUGUGGGGACCAUUCCACGGUUUCCGCGCCGCAGCUAACGCAUUAAGUGCCCCGCCUGGGGAGUACGGCCGCAAGGCUAAAACUCAAAGGAAUUGACGGGGGCCCGCACAAGCGGCGGAGCAUGCGGAUUAAUUCGAUGCAACGCGAAGAACCUUACCAAGGCUUGACAUGUUCUCGAUCGCCGUAGAGAUACGGUUUCCCCUUUGGGGCGGGUUCACAGGUGGUGCAUGGUUGUCGUCAGCUCGUGUCGUGAGAUGUUGGGUUAAGUCCCGCAACGAGCGCAACCCUCGUUCCAUGUUGCCAGCACGUAAUGGUGGGGACUCAUGGGAGACUGCCGGGGUCAACUCGGAGGAAGGUGAGGACGACGUCAAAUCAUCAUGCCCCUUAUGUCUUGGGCUUCACGCAUGCUACAAUGGCCGGUACAAUGGGUUGCGAUACUGUGAGGUGGAGCUAAUCCCAAAAAGCCGGUCUCAGUUCGGAUUGGGGUCUGCAACUCGACCCCAUGAAGUCGGAGUCGCUAGUAAUCGCAGAUCAGCAACGCUGCGGUGAAUACGUUCCCGGGCCUUGUACACACCGCCCGUCAAGUCACGAAAGUCUGGUAACACCCGAAGCCGGUGGCCUAUACCUAUUGUGGCAGAGCCGUCGAAGCUGAUCAUUCGUCUA
rnacentral:rRNA from 1 species